CCUACGGGAGGCAGCAGUGAGGAAUAUUGGUCAAUGGGCGCGAGCCUGAACCAGCCAAGUAGCGUGAAGGAUGACUGCCCUACGGGUUGUACACUUCUUUUAUAAAGGAAUAAAGUGAGGCACGUGUGCCUUUUUGUAUGUACUUUAUGAAUAAGGAUCGGCUAACUCCGUGCCAGCAGCCGCGGUAAUACGGAGGAUCCGCGCGUUAUCCGGAUUUAUUGGGUUUAAAGGGUGCGUAGAUGGGUUGUUAAGUCAGUUGUGAAAGUUUGCGGCUCAACCGUAAAAUUGCAAUUGAUACUGGCAGUCUUGAGUACAGGUGAGGUAGGCGGAAUUCGUGGUGUAGCGGUGAAAUGCUUAGAUAUCACGAAGAACCCCGAUUGCGAAGGCAGCUUACUAAACUGUGACUGACAUUGAUGCUCGAAAGUGUGGGUAUCAAACAGGAUUAGAUACCCCUGUAGUC
rnacentral:rRNA from 1 species